rnacentral:rRNA from 1 species
AGGUUCGAUUCUGGCUCAGGAUGAACGCUAGCGGCAGGCUUAACACAUGCAAGUCGAGGGGCAGCGGGAUGUAGCAAUACAUUGCCGGCGACCGGCGGAUGGGUGCGUAACGCGUAUGCAACCUACCUUAUACAGGGGAAUAACCUUUCGAAAGGGAGACUAACACCCCAUAGUAUUGAUUUAAGGCAUCUUAGAUUAAUUAAAUAUUUAUAGGUAUAAGAUGGGCAUGCGUAUGAUUAGCUAGUUGGUAAGGUAACGGCUUACCAAGGCGACGAUCAUUAGGGGUUCUGAGAGGAAGGUCCCCCACACUGGUACUGAGACACGGACCAGACUCCUACGGGAGGCGGCAGUGAGGAAUAUUGGUCAAUGGGCGCAAGCCUGAACCAGCCAUGCCGCGUGCAGGAAGACGGCCUUAUGGGUUGUAAACUGCUUUUACAUAAGACUAACCGUAUAUUUGCGAAUAUACCUGAAUGUAUUAUGAGAAUAAGGAUCGGCUAACUCCGUGCCAGCCGCCGC